AGUGAACGCUGGCGGUAGGCCUAACACAUGCAAGUCGAACGGCAGCACAGUAAGAGCUUGCUCUUACGGGUGGCGAGUGGCGGACGGGUGAGGAAUACAUCGGAAUCUACUUUUUCGUGGGGGAUAACGUAGGGAAACUUACGCUAAUACCGCAUACGACCUACGGGUGAAAGCAGGGGAUCUUCGGACCUUGCGCGACUGAAUGAGCCGAUGUCGGAUUAGCUAGUUGGCGGGGUAAAGGCCCACCAAGGCGACGAUCCGUAGCUGGUCUGAGAGGAUGAUCAGCCACACUGGAACUGAGACACGGUCCAGACUCCUACGGGAGGCAGCAGUGGGGAAUAUUGGACAAUGGGCGCAAGCCUGAUCCAGCCAUACCGCGUGGGUGAAGAAGGCCUUCGGGUUGUAAAGCCCUUUUGUUGGGAAAGAAAAGCAGCAUGUUAAUCCCCCGCUGUUCUGACGGUACCCAAAGAAUAAGCACCGGCUAACUUCGUG
rnacentral:rRNA from 1 species